CAUUGAGAUGCAGGCUACACCCCGGACAGGUCAUCACUCACUCACAGGGCUGACACAUAGACACACCUUCGGGCAAUCUAGAAUCGCUGCCUGUCUUUGGACUGUGGGAGGAAACUGGAGGACACCCACACAGGCCCAAGGAGAAUAUGCAGACUCCAGGCAGAGAGGCUCCAGCCGCCUGGCAGAUUAAAACCCAAAAUCCUUCUCGCUGCGAGUGACAAGUCGAAAUGCCUCCGGUAAAAAAAAGGCCUAUUGGCUGGAAGAACAGUUAACCCCGCCCCAGCCUUUGACAAGCAGGCAACAUGGAGCCUCCAGUGGAACGGACUUGUAUGGCUUUGGACUGUGGGAGGAAACUGGAGCGCCUGGAGGACAUCCACGCAGACACGGGGGAGAACAUAUAAACUCCACACAGAGAGGACCCGGCCGGUCAUACAGUAUAUGGUGCAGUUAGUGAGAGAUGAGAUUCUUGUGCUUGUCCGCCGUUAAAGCCUGCCUUUUCCGAAUGUGUCUACAAAAAUGAAAUCCUUCAUGUAAACAGACCUUAAACAGCAUUAGAUAGCAUU